UGGGAAACAGGUUAAUAUUCCUGUACUUGGUGUUACUGCGAAGGGGGGACGGAGAAGGCUAUGUUGGCCGGGCGACGGUUGUCCCGGUUUAAGCGUGUAGGCUGGUUUUCCAGGCAAAUCCGGAAAAUCAAGGCUGAGGCGUGAUGACGAGGCACUACGGUGCUGAAGCAACAAAUGCCCUGCUUCCAGGAAAAGCCUCUAAGCAUCAGGUAACAUCAAAUCGUACCCCAAACCGACACAGGUGGUCAGGUAGAGAAUACCAAGGCGCUUGAGAGAACUCGGGUGAAGGAACUAGGCAAAAUGGUGCCGUAACUUCGGGAGAAGGCACGCUGAUAUGUAGGUGAAGUCCCUUGCGGAUGGAGCUGAAAUCAGUCGAAGAUACCAGCUGGCUGCAACUGUUUAUUAAAAACACAGCACUGUGCAAACACGAAAGUGGACGUAUACGGUGUGACGCCUGCCCGGUGCCGGAAGGUUAAUUGAUGGGGUCAGCGCAAGCGAAGCUCUUGAUCGAAGCCCCGGUAAACGGCGGCCGUAACUAUAACGGUCCUAAGGUAGCGAAAUUCCUUGUCGGGUAAGUUCCGACCUGCACGAAUGGCGUAAUGAUGGCCAGGCUGUCUCCACCCGAGACUCAGUGAAAUUGAACUCGCUGUGAAGAUGCAGUGUACCCGCGGCAAGACGGAAAGACCCCGUGAACCUUUACUAUAGCUUGACACUGAACAUUGAGCCUUGAUGUGUAGGAUAGGUGGGAGGCUUUGAAGUGUGGACGCCAGUCUGCAUGGAGCCGGCCUUGAAAUACCACCCUUUAAUGUUUGAUGUUCUAACGUGGACCCGUGAUCCGGGUUGCGGACAGUGUCUGGUGGGUAGUUUGACUGGGGCGGUCUCCUCCUAAAGAGUAACGGAGGAGCACGAAGGUUGGCUAAUCCUGGUCGGACAUCAGGAGGUUAGUGCAAUGGCAUAAGCCAGCUUGACUGCGAGCGUGACGGCGCGAGCAGGUGCGAAAGCAGGUCAUAGUGAUCCGGUGGUUCUGAAUGGAAGGGCCAUCGCUCAACGGAUAAAAGGUACUCCGGGGAUAACAGGCUGAUACCGCCCAAGAGUUCAUAUCGACGGCGGUGUUUGGCACCUCGAUGUCGGCUCAUCACAUCCUGGGGCUGAAGUAGGUCCCAAGGGUAUGGCUGUUCGCCAUUUAAAGUGGUACGCGAGCUGGGUUUAGAACGUCGUGAGACAGUUCGGUCCCUAUCUGCCGUGGGCGCUGGAGAACUGAGGGGGGCUGCUCCUAGUACGAGAGGACCGGAGUGGACGCAUCACUGGUGUUCGGGUUGUCAUGCCAAUGGCACUGCCCGGUAGCUAAAUGCGGAAGAGAUAAGUGCUGAAAGCAUCUAAGCACGAAACUUGCCCCGAGAUGAGUUCUCCCUGACCCUUUAAGGGUCCUGAAGGAACGUUGAAGACGACGACGUUGAUAGGCCGGGUGUGUAAGCGCAGCGAUGCGUUGAGCUAACCGGUACUAAUGAACCGUGAGG
rnacentral:rRNA from 1 species